UUUGGUGUCCUGAGUAGCGAAGUAGUUGGCUUACGUUGGAACAAACAGACCAGCGGAGAUAUUUAAAGGCAAUAGGUGAUUUACGGAGUUCCUAACGACAGCCAGUCCAUUCUUUCUCCCCGAGAACGGAUUUCGCCAAUCGCCCCAGGGUGUGAAGAAUAAAAAGUGGGCACCUCACCGUUGGUUUGGCAUGAUUUGACUCAGCUGGCUUUUCUAAGCUCUUCCUUUUCCUCCCUUCCCCUUGCUGUGUCCGGGGCUAGCCCUGUUUGUCCCUUGGGUUUGUCCUGUUCCCACGUACUUCUGUCUGUCUGUUUGGACUUGUCUGUCAGUUCUCCACAUUGCCAUUGGAUGACAUCUCUUGACCAUUCGAUUUGCUAGAAAAUAAUAGCCAUGUCUUCGUUAUCUUGUUUUAUUUCAUUACGACACCUUAUUACUGUCCUCUCCUGCCCCGGGGUUAAAAACUCCUUGUGGACAGGCUGGGGCUUUCCUCGUCUUGUUGAUGGUGAUAUCCACAUGGGCCCACACAAUGGUGGAAGCAGCCAGAAGGUGCUCAAGAACUGAAUGGAUACGUCUGUCUGGGACGAAGACUCAGAAAUGGAAAGUUUUCAUUUUAAUUUGAUUCCAACUUUCUGGCCUGUCAUGGUCCACGGUGGCUCCGAAAGUCUCUGGAGACAGAUGACCCUGAAUUGGAAUGGUACUUCCGGCAGCCAAUGCACUUGGCACCUGCCCUCCUCUGCUGGUCUAUCCCGGGACAAUGAAUCAAAGUGUG